UUUUAUUUUCAAUUUUUAUUUGUCAAAUUAUGCAUGUACCGCUACAUGUCGCUUGCAAGUAACAAGUUGAAGGGGACUAACAACCCUCUUGCAUGCAUUGGGUGCAAGUGUGUGCUCUUUUGUGUAUAUGCGUUGAAGACGAAAAAUUGCGUCUUCCUCCUAUUGGUUUGUGUCGGUGAAAGGAUCUACAUGUAUUGGGGACUCAAAGGCCCCCCUUUGCUGGUUUGGCGGGGAGAGGGGUCACGGCAAGAGCAGAACAAACAGUCAG
rnacentral:lncRNA from 1 species